rnacentral:rRNA from 1 species
AGGACGAACGCUGGCGGCGUGCUUAACACAUGCAAGUCGAGCGGUAAGGCUCCUUCGGGAGUACACGAGCGGCGAACGGGUGAGUAACACGUGAGCAAUCUGCCCUUCACAUUGGAAUAACUUCCGGAAACGGAAGCUAAUACCGAAUACGACCACCGAAGGCAUCUUCUGGUGGUGGAAAGUUCCGGCGGUGAAGGAUGAGCUCGCGGCCUAUCAGCUUGUUGGUGGGGUAAUGGCCCACCAAGGCAACGACGGGUAGCCGGCCUGAGAGGGUGACCGGCCACACUGGGACUGAGACACGGCCCAGACUCCUACGGGAGGCAGCAGUGGGGAAUAUUGGACAAUGGGCGAAAGCCUGAUCCAGCAACGCCGCGUGAGGGAUGACGGCCUUCGGGUUGUAAACCUCUUUCAGCAGGGACGAAGCGCAAGUGACGGUACCUGCAGAAGAAGCACCGGCCAACUACGUGCCAGCAGCCGC